ACAAGGAUGGCCGAGAGGUCAAGGCGUUGGACUGGACGUACAUGUGAGUUCAAACCCCACUCCUAGUA
rnacentral:tRNA from 1 species